UACGGAGGGUGCAAGCGUUAUCCGGAUUCACUGGGUUUAAAGGGUGCGUAGGUGGGCAGGUAAGUCAGUGGUGAAAUCUUUGGGCUUAACCCGAAAACUGCCAUUGAUACUAUUUGUCUUGAAUAUUGUGGAGGUCAGCGGAAUAUGUCAUGUAGCGGUGAAAUGCUUAGAUAUGACAUAGAACACCAAUUGCGAAGGCAGCUCGCUGGGACGUUACUGACGCUGAGACGCGAAAGCGUGGGGAGCAAACAGG
rnacentral:rRNA from 1 species